rnacentral:pre_miRNA from 1 species
UUAGAGUAGAGAGAAGGAACUAUACUGUUAUAACAGUAUAGUUCCUUCUCUCUACUCUAA